GUAUUCACGGCGUAUGACUGGUAACAAUGGAAUUUUGCAUCUCUUACUAACCAGCUCUUCGGCUUAAGUACCUCCCACAUAUACACCCACACCCGAGGUGAGGGGUGCAGGCGCCUAAGGAUCUGAGGCUUGGGCAGGCACAAAGCUUGACAGGCGGGCCCGCGCCCUUGGCUUUCGGGGGCCCAGGCUAACGCGAGACGCCUCGCCCGCCCAGGGCCGCCCCCGCGCGGGGUGGAAGUGGAGGCUGGAUAGGCUCUCCGCACCUCGGCGGGUUGCAGAGCCUCGGCGUACGGGCCGGGCGUUGGGGCGUUUCGGCGUUGGGGUGGGGUACGCCUCGCCCCAGGCCGGGCGGGCAGGAGCUGGGGAUGGGGGACCGUCGGAGCGGCAGGGGACUCACCUGCAGCAGCACCGCCAGCAGGAAGCACAGAAAUAACCAGUUCCUCAAAUGUUCUUAGAACCAGCUUUUCCAUCCUACUGGUUCCUUCAUCAAUUAAAAUAACAUCAACAUGGGUUCAUUCUAUAUUGCGUCCCGGUGACCGGGUUGCCCUUGCUUCACCAUCUUCUUCCCGAGGUGGAGACAUGAGACAUGCCCGUUGAGGAUAAAAUGAAGAACUAAAGUUAAAUCCAGCUUCUGUCGGAAAGGACUUUAAAUGACUGCACCCUGAAGGCACAUAAUUCGAGAGCAUGAGUGCAGGGCCUGGAGCUGCUCUUUGAGGGAGACCUUGGUCUUCGGCCAGGACCACAUGCAGGCAAGAAGCUAUUGCUGGAAAGAACCCCGGCCUUCUCAGCUCGGAUGCCUUGGACGUGGGUUGGUCACUUCCAGCCCCAUGCUGUGCUGUCCAGGAAUGGUCUGACAGCCCCAGGCUGGAGAAUGUGUCUCUCCCAAGUGCUCUGUCACCCUGGUAACCAUGGAGACCAUGACGAUCGAUUAGAUGCCAUCUGAUCUCAACCUCAUAAAAAAAAAAAAGCAAAGCAGCAGAUGGCAACCAGGCCACUAGACCUGUCUCAAGAGAGACGCAAAGGAAGAGAGAGAAAGGGAUGGAAGGAGGGGAGCAAGGAGACACUGGGGCGGAUUGGUGUCGGGAGAAGCAAGCACAGGAGCGGCUCUGGAAGCGAACAUUUCAGAGAAGAGUGGAAAUAGAAACUGAAAACGAGGAAAGCAGCAACUGGGGAAAGGGGAGUCGUCAUGCAAAAAUGAAACUAAAACCAAUAUACCCCUGGAGGGAGUGGGAGGAGGAAAACCACAAAGAAGGCAAACCAGCUCUUUCUAACCUUGUCCUUGGGUUUGGGAGUCUCAGAGUACUCUGGAACCUAGGCCCCAAGGUGCUCUGAGGGGCCCUCACAAGGCUAUUCUGGUGGCUCUCAUAUCAGUUGGAAGUGGACGCGUCUGCAAAAGAACCCUGAGACCUGGCUUCAGAAGGAAUGUCUCUGAUCAGAUGGUGUGGUGCGGUGGCCUUUCAGAUGGCUGGAUGCAUCAAUAUUCGAUAAGCUUGCCACCCCAUCUCCAGCAUUCUAGUUAUCCCUCAGAGGAACAAGUGACAGUCAGGUCAGAGGAUAUGCAAAGUGAAAAGAGGAGCAGUUCAGAUGGUUCUGAUAACAGGAGUCUUAGCCAGCAUCCCAGAGUCAUGCAAUGGCCAGUAUUUAGAAAAUGCUUAAUAUUUAUAAAAUGCUUAUGUGUCAGAUACUGCUAACCACUGUGUAAAGAUCAUUUUGUACAGUUAAUUUAAUCCAGACAACAAUGCUAGAGAAACUGAGUUUGCAGAGCACGCCUAGAAUGUUUACAUAAAAUCUACAUACUGUAUUUGGUUAAAUAUAGUAUGUUUAUCUAUCCACCUAUCUACACACACAUAUUUCUACCAAAUAUAGUAAUAACCCUUUGGUUAACUUGCCUUUUCUCGAUAUUAUGAACACUUUUCCAUGUUUUUAACUAUUCUAUUUAAAGACUAUACAGCAUUGUAUUGUUUGAAGGUAUCAUGAUUUACCUACUUCCUUAUUAUUGAACUGAUUUAUUUCUGGAUUUUUGCUACGAUAAAAAACCCUGUGGUGACGGUUCUUGUAUGUAAACCUCUUCUGAGUUUUGUUCUUUAGGAUGGAAACAUGAUUACUAAGUCAAACGGUAUGAUUUCUUAAAAUUUUUUAGUUGACAUAUAUGACAUAAAAAUUUUUAGUUGACAUAUGACAUAUUUGUAACAACUGUGUUACCACUAACCACAUCUGUGUAUGAAAUAGUCGUAGCCCCCCAAACACUCCUUCUACCCCCUCCUAGUCAAUACCUACCCCAUGUUCUUGAACUUCAUAUCAACGGGAUGAUAAGGUGUGUAAUUUUUUAUCUGGGGCUACUUUCCCUCAACAUAAUGUCUGUGAGAUUCAAUAUGCUAUACUGUAUUGCAGUAACUCAUUCUUUAUAUUGCUGGGCAGUAUUCUAUCCUUUGAACCAUUUCAUUGGUUUAUUUUACUGCUAAUGGACCUUUAAACUAUAUUCAUAAAGUUGCUCUGAACAUUCUCUUGCAUGUUUUUUGGAGGUCAUAAGAAGACAUUUUUUGGAUGCAAACUGGAAGUGGUUUGAAACCAGGCUGUAGAGAGGUGUCUAUCUAAAUGCAGGGUAAACAUUUCUAAGGGAUUUUUUUUGGGGGGGAGGUUUACUUUUAAAUGGGCCUCCAAAUAGCUGUUCCAAUUUGAAUUCCCACCAUCCAAAGUUACAAGAGUGCCCCUCCCCCUCACACCCUGACCAAUGGCGGGCAGGCAUUCUCACCCUUCUUUAUCUUUGCCAUUCUGAGAGAUGAAAUGGUAUCUAAGUGUUUAUAUCAUGUUUGAUGACCAGACACAUUAAACAAUUCUAUGUUACCAGACAUUCUUAUUUCUUCUUUCAAAAAUUGCCCAGACGUGUCAUUGCCCUAUUUGGUAUUAGCUUCAGGAUAAGGCAAAAAGGUGAAAUACAAUCCAUAUAGUCUGUACAAACUCACUGGCAUUGUCAGAGAAUGCAUUGACAUUUAUGACCAGAACAAAUUUACAUUCUUUGCAUAAGUUGACAUCCUGCUCCAUGUAUUUCAGAGGGAAGCUAACAUUUACAGAACACCUAUUACUGAGCACAUUUACUCUUUAAAAUAGCCCUAUUCGUUUAAUCCUUAUAGCUUCAUUUAAUUUCAGUCGUAGCAUUUAAUUUUCACAAACACUCUAAGGCACUUCGUAUUCUGCCUAUUUUCACAAAUGUAGAAAUCAAGGCUCACAGUCACACAACUAUUUAAGCAGCAGGACUGGGAUUUAAACCCAAGACACUCCAAGGCCAAAGUAAAUUUUCUUUCCUCUGUUCUCUAGAUGCCAUUGCCUAGGGCUGUGAUCCUCUUUUUCCCCCUUCACUUUGUAAACCCUAACGGGGUUUCUGACUUCCAGAACCUAUUAAUUUCCUUGCAUCCCCAACACACAUAUAUCAUCCUACCUCCAAAAUUCGAAGAAGUGUCAGGAUGGCUGUGCUACUAAGGAAAGAUGGAUAAUAUGGAAAAAAUUCAUUUCAGUUCAUUUCACCUACUUUAUAAAUUUUUCUUUUAUGUGUGUAUGAUAUUGUGCAUUUUAUUUUUUAUAAUGAUUAUUUUUUCCAACAUAGCUGAUUUACAGUGAUAUUGUGCAUUUUAAAAUCUGAGUAAUAGUUUAACCAAUCCAGAGCUGAAAUGAAUAGAAGCAUAGGGGGAGCCAGGAUCUCUCUUUCUCUCAAUAUAUUGCUUUUUGGGAUCUGAAGCUUCUAUGAUUUAAUACGUCUUUAAUAACAAAAUGAUUACUAAUA